rnacentral:rRNA from 1 species
UACGAAGGGUGCAAGCGUUACUCGGAAUUACUGGGCGUAAAGCGUGCGUAGGCGGUUUGUUAAGUCCGCUGUGAAAGCCUUGGGCUCAACCUGGGAAUUGCAGUGGAUACUGGCAAGCUAGAGUGCGGUAGAGGAUGGUGGAAUUCCCGGUGUAGCGGUGAAAUGCGUAGAGAUCGGGAGGAACACCCGUGGCGAAGGCGGCCAUCUGGACCAGCACUGACGCUGAGGCACGAAAGCGUGGGGAGCAAACAGG